UGGGGAAUAUUGGACAAUGGGCGAAAGCCUGAUCCAGCCAUGCCGCGUGUGUGAAGAAGGUCUUCGGAUUGUAAAGCACUUUAAGUUGGGAGGAAGGGCAUUAACCUAAUACGUUAGUGUUUUGACGUUACCGACAGAAUAAGCACCGGCUAACUCUGUGCCAGCAGCCGCGGUAAUACAGAGGGUGCAAGCGUUAAUCGGAAUUACUGGGCGUAAAGCGCGCGUAGGUGGUUUGUUAAGUUGGAUGUGAAAUCCCCGGGCUCAACCUGGGAACUGCAUUCAAAACUGACUGACUAGAGCAUGGUAGAGGGUGGUGGAAUUUCCUGUGUAGCGGUGAAAUGCGUAGAUAUAGGAAGGAACACCAGUGGCGAAGGCGACCACCUGGACUAAUACUGACACUGAGGUGCGAAAGCGUGGGGAGCAAACA
rnacentral:rRNA from 1 species